GCUCGGGAUUUGAGGCCCAUAUCCUGCUGCCGGCCCUGGGAUCCGUUGAGGCUAUGCUUCUCGAGGGCAGAUAUGGUCAUGCCAGGAAGUCCGUGUCACUUGCCCACCUCCAGUAAGCAACAUGUGAAGAGAAGCAGCAUGGCCUAGUGAACAGAGGACAGGCCUGGGAGUCUAUACCUGCCCUUCCCAGGAAACUCAGCGAGCCCCAUUAUUCUGGGCCAGAAGAAAAGGCUGAGUCGAGGACACCUAGCAAGGAGCAAUACCUGCUGACAAGGGAUGAAAUCGUUCAAGUCAGAGGUGGUGUUGGAGUGAAUCCAGAUUCCUUGGCCACAGUGCAGCACGGGGCCCACUAUCCUCCAGAGCCUUCGGUUCCAUUGUAAGUAAGAAGUCAGAUUCUUUUGAUUGCUCAUUUUUGGUUUGGUUGUCUCGAUUGUCUCUGCACUCGGUAGAGGCUUGAUUGCCGCCCCUGACUGUCUCUGUGUCUCUUCCUUUUUCCAUCUCUCGGGUCACCUUGUUCUUAUGGACUCUUCUGAUGACCGCGCCCGGGGCCAACUGGGAGAUGCGAGCAUACGUCCGCCAAACUCUCCCCGAAGGAUGAGUUGAUGUCGAUUCGACCAUGACAGAUCAUUCUCACGGUCCACCAAACUUGUUGGGAGGGAUGUGUUUCUGUUGAAUUUCCCGGGCACAUCCUUUGCCACUGUUCACCGAAUUCCCCGGGAGGGGCGAGUUGGAUUUUCCAUCUCCGUCGGGGAAACUGGCAAAGGUGUCGGGGGGGACAUUUCACAGUGAUCCGAUGGCAUUGGCCGUCUGGUCUUCACGACGGAAUGGAUAACCAUCGCCAUCGGUGGUAUUUACAACCACUCACCGUGUCCAGAGCAGCCGAAUUGAGCUCUCGGGAGAGUCCAACAGAAUCGGCAAUCACGUAUCCGACCCACGGUGUCUUUAUGGUCUCGAGGAAAAGAUCUACUUAGAGGUCCUGCCCCUCUCCCCUAUGCAGACACACACAUCCUCACUCCGAAGUCCUGCCUCUGCCGUCGCCCGGGGUGUGACUUGCUCCUUGAUUCAUCGUCCCUUCCCAGCCCCACAGCACUUAGGUCUCAAAGCCGCCGGAACAGGGGAUUGGGAGACUCACCUUCAAGGCCUCCUUGGGGAAGACAGUUCAGAGCACCAGUCCCACGGAAAGUGGGGGAAAUCGCUGGAGCUCCUCUGCUGGUACUGCCGGAUCCAAGUCGGAAACCUCGGAAGGUAUCCCUGGAUUAGCAAUCCCAGACUUCUGGGUUUCUCACUGUGCCCUCUAUCGACAGCAGAGGACCACAUCUAAAUUCUAAUAUCUCCAAGAGAAUCAUGAGUCUCAAAGGUGGAGAGAGAAGGCUUGAACAGUUGCAGACAACCUUCCUUCCUUUUUUUUUUAACGGACACUUUUUCCUCUCCUCCCAUACGAUAACCCCCACACCAGGAGAGACGAGGUAUACAUACUGACCUUCACGCUUCAUAUGAAGGCAUCCAUCUCUCCUGCUAACAAAUAAACACCCCCUGCAACAAUCUCAAAAUCUGUUAGUCCACAAAGGCCUUGUAGGCCGGGAUUUGGAGGUCCAACUUCAGUGUAGACUGGACAAAAUUCAGUUCCGAAUACAAUGCCUGCUUUCCAAGAUCCCUAACUGCACCUAUGACAACUCAGUCUCAGAACUCUGCUUUCCAGAGAGAGAGAGAGAGAGAAAAGAGAGAAAUACAGUUGACACACUGACAGUCUUCUCGCCUGACUCCACACAGUAGACAGCAGCUGUUACUGACAGGCCCAGACAGGUCCCUUCUCCAGGGGCUGAAGAUAUGCAGGGUGACCCUGCAGACAAGACUGUGGGCACAGGGAAGUUUGACCCAUCUAUAAAAUUAAGGUCCCCAGGUCCCCCAGUCGAGUCAGGCAGAGACAGUUCCCUGAACAGAGCCCUAGCCCCUGUUUCCAGAACCAGGCUUGAUACUGAGAAUGGUAUCCUCCACUUCACUAUUCCUGUCCCAAAGGUAACCCCAUUACUCUCUCUUUAUCAUAGGCACAUGCACCCCCCCCCCCACACCCACACACCCUCCCCCUGCCACC